UGAGGAAUAUUGGUCAAUGGACGAAAGUCUGAACCAGCCAUGCCGCGUGCAGGAUGACGGCCCUACGGGUUGUAAACUGCUUUUAUAAGGGAAUAAACCCCCCGACGUGUCGGGGGCUGAAGGUACCUUACGAAUAAGGAUCGGCUAACUCCGUGCCAGCAGCCGCGGUAAUACGGAGGAUCCAAGCGUUAUCCGGAUUCAUUGGGUUUAAAGGGUCCGCAGGCGGGUUAUUAAGUCAGUGGUGAAAUCCUGCAGCUUAACUGUAGAACUGCCAUUGAUACUGGUAAUCUUGAGUGUGGUUGAAGUGGGCGGAAUGUGUCAUGUAGCGGUGAAAUGCAUAGAUAUGACACAGAACACCGAUUGCGAAGGCAGCUCACUAAGCCAUUACUGACGCUCAGGGACGAAAGCGUGGGGAGCGAACAGG
rnacentral:rRNA from 1 species